rnacentral:rRNA from 1 species
AAUCUUCAAGAUUAGCCAUGCAUGUCUCAGUAUAAGCUUCUAUACGGCGAAACUGCGAAUGGCUCAUUAAAACAGUUAUAGUUUAUUUGGUGGUCAGCAAUUACAUGGAUAACCGUGGUAAUUCUAGAGCUAAUACAUGCGCCCAAACCCGACUUCGUGGAAGGGUUGUGUUUAUUAGAUACAGAACCAACCCAGGCUCCGCCUGGCCUUGAGGUGAUUCAUAAUAAUCGAACGAAUCGCAUGGCUAUGCCGGUGAUAGACCAUUCAAGUUUCUGACCUAUCAGCUAUCGUCGGUAGGGUAUUGGCCUACCGUGGCAAUGACGGGUAACGGAGAAUUAGGGUUCGAUUCCGGAGAGGGAGCCUGAGAAACGGCUACCACAUCUAAGGAAGGCAGCAGGCGCGCAAAUUACCCAAUCCUGACGCAGGGAGGUAGUGACAAGAAAUAACAAUACAGGGCAUACAUGUCUUGUAAUUGGAAUGAGUAAACUUUAAAUCACUUU